rnacentral:rRNA from 1 species
AGCUUGCUAGUUUGUCAGCUAAGUGGCGCACGGGUGAGUAAUAUAUAGUUAAUCUGCCCCAAAGAAGAGAAUAAUUGUUGGAAACGACUUGUAAUGCUCUAUAUGCCUUUAUUACAUAAGUAAGCAAGGGAAAUAUUUAUAGCUUUGGGAUGAGACUGUACGGUAUCAGCUAGUUGGUGAGGUAAUGGCUCACCAAGGCAAUGACACCUAACUGGUUUGAGAGGAUGAUCAGUCACACUGGAACUGAGACACGGUCCAGACUCCUACGGGAGGCAGCAGUGGGGAAUAUUGCACAAUGGAGGAAACUCUGAUGCAGCAACGCCGCGUGGAGGAUGACACAUUUCGGUGCGUAAACUCCUUUUAUAUGAGAAGAUAAUGACGGUAUCAUAUGAAUAAGCACCGGCUAACUUCGUGCCAGCAGCCGCGGUAAUACGAGGGGUGCAAGCGUUACUCGGAAUCACUGGCCG